AUAUAUAUAUAUAUAUAUAUAUAAUGUGUUGCAUUUUCAACCUUGCUGUAUACACUGAAAUUCUAAAUCUUAUCAAAGAAUCUGUCACAUCAUUGUGUAUUUACCAUAUGAUCUUAAUACAACUAGAUUAAAAAAUAAAAAAAAUUUCAUUAACUAAAAACAAAAACACAUAGAAAAAAAAUCCCCUCUAAAUUUUGGUUUACUGCUUAUCAAUUUUGCCAACUACUCAUAUCUGAUGUGUGUGUAUAUGUCCAAACAUCAAUCAGUUAAAAACUUCUUUGUCCAAAGUGAAAUGAAACAUUCAGAAAAAUAUGUGGGAAAUUCUAAGCGUCUCUGAAUGUUUCAGUCUUAUUAUAUAAGGCUCCAUUAAACAUUGUCAGCUUUUAAUUCAGGAUCAACACCCAUUGCCUCCAGCAAACUUGCCGGUGACAAGCUUGUUCAAGAGAUUCCUACACCAUCACUAUCACAAUGGGAAUUAUACAUUGAACAACAGGCCUGUUUUGGGGUCAGAAAGAACUAAGUAUAUCUGUGAAAAAGAAAGGCUUUCAUAUUUCUCAAUAUUAUUUUGAAAGUGCUGAUCAUUAACUGGCUGAUUUCAUGGUCUGUUUUUAUGUUUUUUUUCUUUCCAUUUGUAAUUUUAAUAAUUACAACCACAACUUCCACCACUGGCCAACAAACUCAGUACUAAACAACUCAAACAUCAAAACUCUGAAAUGGUCUCCCUUCAUUUUUUUUUUUAUUUUAAUGGUUUUAACUUCAUUUUAGUUCUGGUUUCAUUCAAAAUGUUUGUAUCUGUUGUGUGUGUGUGUGUUUAUGUAUGCACACACAUGUGUGUGUACAUGCGUGUGUGUGUAUAUAUAUAUGUAUAUAUAUAUAUAUAUAUAUGUAUAUAUAUAUAUAUAUAUAUAUAUAUAUAAUCAUCUUUUUAAUUGGUGCAAUAAAAUUUGAGACAUACACAUUGAUGCCAUUUUGAAUUUUCUUUUCUGAAGUGUAAAAAUAUUUACCAAACAAUAACUAAUUUCUUGAAAUGGCUUCGUUAUAAAUUCAAUCUCACUCUUUAAAGUGGAUGAAGGUGGGUAUUUAAUUUCAAUUUAUCCCACCUUAGAGCUAAUGAAUGUACAUAUCUAGACUUAUAUAAAAAACAAUGAAUUGAAUUGAAUAGUUUUUAAAAUUGAUAUUGUUUUGAGGGAAGGCAGUGGGCUGGGCAGAAUUGUCACCCUGCUGGGCAGAAUGCUGCUAAGCACUCUGCCCAUGUUUAUGUUCUGAGUUCAAAUUCUGCUGAGAGGGACUUUAUCGUUCAUCUUUACGGGGUUGAUAAAAUGAUUAUCAGUUAAGCACUAGGGUCAAUGUAAUCCACUUAGCCGCUUUCCCCAAAAUGCUGGCCUUGUGCUAAAAUUUGAAACAAAUAUUAUUUUUUUUUUUUUUUGGUGGGAGCGGGGCAGUAAUUGCCAGAAUCUGUAGAGUGGUGGAAAAAAAUGCCUUGUAGUAUUUAGUUACAUCCCUUUAAAUUCUGUGUUCAAAUCAUGUCAGGGUCAAUUUUUGCCUUUCAUUUUUAUGGGGUGAAUAUACUAAAUACCAGUCAAGCACUGUCAAUUUAAUCACCUUACCCUCUCUGCACAAAAAAUCUGUGGCUUUUUGCCAAUGUUAGGAAUCAGUAUAAAUACUUGUCUUUAGAAGUGAAAACAGUUUUCUUUAAUGGAUACCUAUGAAAAUAUGGGUUCUUUAUAUUUGGCAACUUUCAGAGUUAGGUUAUUUGGAAAUGUCUUCAUUCCUCCAUUGAAGGAAGCGGUGGUAUAUUGUUAUAUGAAUUUGUCUUUUAAUGAAUACCUCCUACUAUUGCUGCUGCUGAAGUGUUUGUACCAGUACAGUUAAACCUGUUCAUAAUAACAAUAAUAAUAAUAAUAAUAAUAAUAUGUGAAUUAAGCUGAUUUAACCAAUUUUGCGGCUAUUCAAAGUAUUAAAAUUUGUUAUAGACUCUAUAUGUUAACUGUUGAAACACAAAACAAUUACGAAACAAAUCAAAACGCUUAUUGAAAUUAAAUGUUUUGUUUGUUUUCACUUAUUAUUAUUAUUACUUAAUAAAUUUCUAUGGUUACAAUAUUUUCCUAAUCAUUGUUGCUGUUUCAUUUUUUUUUUUUUUUUGUAAUUCCUCGUUUACUCUGUAUGUUCUGUUUUUAACUGCUUGAUUUAAUGUGUUUUGACAUCAAAACUAUGAUAUGAGUAACAGCUACUAAUAAUAAUAGUAAUAAUGAUAAUAUUAAUAAUAAUCUAGUUCUUUAAAAAAAUUUUACUUUGAACUCUCUAAACUUUGGUUAGUGAACUUUAAAAAACUUAUAAUUUUCUUAUCACCACCACUACCAUCAACACCAUCACUACUACUACUACUACUACUACUACUACUAUUCUGUCCACCUGAUACGUGGGAACAAUUCUGAUUUACUAAGUAAAUUAAGUCAGCUGUGAAGCAGGUAACUCUGCAUCUUCUGUUUACCAAAAAAGAAAAGAAAAAAAAAAAGGCUCUGUUCAGUGGAUGAAACUCUUUAAGAUGUGUUGGUUCUUGAAAAAUUCUUUACUUCACACAAGUAUUAUAGACUUAUGACCAGCUGUGAGAAACUUGUUUUCAAAAACCUUUUUGAAAUGGAACACACACAAACACACACACACACAAAAAAAAAAAGAAAAUCAAUUAAAAAAAAAUUAAAUAAAAUAAUUGGUCUUGUGUAGUAAUUUUGCUUUCUGUCUCCAAACUUAUAUUGAGAAGAAAAGUCAUCUUUUUAAUAUCAUUAUUUAAUUUGAUCAUAAUUAACAGUUGUUGAAAACAUGCUAAAGUGAUUCUGAGGAAAAGAAAGGAGAUAUAUACAUAAAAGCCUUUAUCUUUUUGUGACAUCAGUGUUGCUGAAAAAUGACUUUUUACAUUUACCAAAAUAUUAUUAAAGUAAAUAAAUAUGUAAAAUUUCUCUUCAUUUGUAUGUUGUUUUUUUUUCCCCAUCUUCUGUUUUGUCAUUCACAUAUUUUAUAAUAAAUUAAUUUUGUAAUUUUGACUCUUUAACUUUUUUAUUUUCAUUUCUUCAGGUCAAUAUUUUAACUCCCAGAUUUUGAAAGUACAUUUCCACAUCUCCAGAAUUCUUCAAGAAGUAGAAAGAAGCAGUGGAGUAGAGUAUCUGAGAGUAAUGACAUUCUGAAUUCUUACUGGUGAAGUGGUUCUACUGGGAUAGAUUCUGAGUAGGAUCUGCAACAGACAUGAGCAACCCUUUUUGAGAAGCAGGCCACAUGAGACACUGCUCCUCGUUUGGCAGGCCACACUAUAAAGAAAUUCAAGAUGGCAUGGUAUGAUUUGAAGGAGACUUAGCUGCUCUUCCUAGCAGGUUAGGCAUCUGCAAGGCAGCUCCCUCAUUAAAAAUUGCAUUUGAUGGCAGUGGUGGUGGUGAAGAGAUGGGAGGUGCAACAGAAAAAAUAUAAAUAUAUAAAUGAAGAAAUAAAUAUAUGUAUAUAAAUAAAGAAAUAAACAAACUGAAGAAUUU